GAUGAACGCUGGCGGCGUGCCUAAUACAUGCAAGUCGAGCGAACGGACGAGAAGCUUGCUUCUCUGAUGUUAGCGGCGGAAGGGUGAGUAACACGUGGAUACCCUCCCUAUAAGACUGGGAUCACUUCGGGAAAUCGGAGCUAAUACCGGCUAAUAUUUUGAACCGCAUGGUUCAAAAGUGAAAGACGGUCUUGCUGUCACUUAUCGAUGGAUCCGCGCUGCAUUAGCUAGUUGGUAAGGUAACGGCUUACCAAGGCAACGAUGCAUAGCCGACCUGAGAGGGGGAUCGGCCACACUGGAACUGAGACACGGUCCAGACUCCUACGGGAGGCAGCAGUAGGGAAUCGUCCGCAAUAGGCGAAAGCCUGACGCAGCAACGCCGCGUGAGUGAUGAAGGUCUUCGGAUCGUAAAACUCUGUUAUUAGGGAAGAACAUAUGUGUGAGUAGCUGUGCACAUCUUGACGGUACCUAAUCAGAAAGCCACGGCUAACUACGUG
rnacentral:rRNA from 1 species